UAGGAAACUUUAAAACGAAGCCUGGCCUUCUUUUGUGAAUAGCAUAAUAAAGCAGAAAUUGAAAGGCCGAUGUUGAUUGGUUUCUAAAAUAAGUAAAUUCGUGCGUAAAAUAAAUUUUCAAAUAUAUCACUGGACUAUUAGCAAUCAUUGUUGUUUGGCCAAGCUUCGUCAACAAUGACGUAAUAAACAUAUUUAACAGUAGUGAGUGGACAGUUUAUUUGUCUUCAAAUUAUCCGAUCUAAUUAUUUUGUAAUUACAUGUAUUACGGUUAUGUUUCUGAUUUUCCUUUUUUUUUUUACAAUGCCCCAAUAUGUUUUCAUAACCUCAUUUAUGUUUUGCUUCAUUUAUAUGCAUACUGCAUAAUUUUGUAUAUAAAUAAUGCUAUUAAAUGCUGCCAAUUGUUAAGUUUAUGCAGCAAAAAUGCUGAUGUCUAUUUAAUGAUACUACAUCCUAAUUAGUCCCUCUUUUGUUGCCGGCAACUAUUACGUAAAAGACAAUUAAUUAAGCAGAACUGUAAAACGUUU